GCGCCGCCCCCCGCCUUUCUCCGCCCCCUCCUCCCGCUGGGCGGAGCCUGGGCUCACCGGCCGGGCCUGCGCGCGCCCGCCCUAAGACUAAUGCCGUGCUUGAGGAAAUUCGUUUGCAGAGGCUCACUCCGUUUGCAAGCACCGCGUUUGCCACAUCUCCUCAGUUGUGAUUUUUUCAAGUUGCGGGAGCACCUGGGUAUUUAUGUUUUAGGUAUAUGGAGUUUCUCUAAGAAGCACACCUUCCUUCGUCUUUUUAAGCGAGAACAUUCGGAACCCGAGGUAGCCCAGGUGUAAAACAAAACAAAACAAAACAAAACAAAACAAAACAAAACAAAACCCACCACCACAACAGGCUUUUCGGACAGGGAGGUUUGGGUCCAAUUCAACCGAGACUCCUCCGUCACGAGGCAGGCGGGCGUGGGUAUAUUGGAGCCCUGGCUUCCCCGCGGGGCGAGGAUUCUGACCUUCAGUCCCGUUCUGCGGUCAGGAGUCACGUCCCGCGGUCGGGGGAACUACCGGUCUCGAGUUUUCUGCCGCGGGCCUCGGGGGCUUUUGAGCGUGUUUGUGACUGGCUACCGCUACACUAAAAGCUGUGUUUGUAAAAUGCUUAUUAUUAGAGAUUAUGCUUAUUAUUAGGGAUUUCCUUUUUGUUCUUUCCCAGGGGUUGCCUGUGAUUAGGCUGGGCCACCCGUUACCAGGGCUUCUUCAAAAUGUUCCCCCCAAAAUGAGAAGAAUGGCUGGAGAGCUUUAGUCUCCAGAGUUCAUGACCAUUACUUUGGCUACUUACGGGCUUUCGGGGGUUUCCUUCCUAGUCUUUAGCUGUGAGGUUGAGGUGGUGGGGUUUGCAGGCGCGAGCAACAAAUGCCCCUGUCAUAAAUGCCGCAGCCGGCAGAGGGGUUUGGGAUUUAGUGGGGUGCUGAGGGGCAGGGUGGGGAGUGGGGAGGCCCGGACCUUGCAGGCUUGCGUGCAGGAGAGCCGAGCGAAGAGGAUUGCCUGGUUUUCCGGAGGCUUGCUGGUGGUGGCAAAGGGGAGCGGAGGGAGAGAAGCUGCGCGUGAACUGCGUUCCUGCUUUGCCUAGGAGCCGCCUGAGCGGGGAAGCCGUGCACCUGCUUCUUCACCCAACCUCAGGUGUGUUCCAGUGAGAAGAGGGAUUUGCUCCUGUCCCUUGGCUUCCAGGAUGGAGGCAGGAGAUGCUCAGGAAAGUGCUGAGUGUAAGGUGUGGAGGCUGACCAGGGCUCCGCUCUCCUCUCCUCGGGCAGAGGUGGUCCCCUGCUGCUGUUGUCUCAAGUGGACUGUGAUACCGCCUCAGGUCUCACCAACUCCCUGGCCUCUCCCCACAAUUCAUUCGAGCAGUUGUCAAAACUGUACUUAAUUCAGCUAUGGCAAACAGCACAGCGGUCUGACAGAGGAUUCCAAACUUUCUGAUUAACAUUUCCCUGCAAAUACGUUCCUGAGCAUUCUAUUGCAGCGUAUGUGUGUUUACUUAUUAGUUGGACUGUUUAAAUAUGUACAUUAUACAUUGCAAACUUUUGAAUGGUGAAAUUUAAAAUAAAGUGAAUAGAGUUUCCACUAUGUUCUUCCUACACCUCAAUUUGUAGCCCACUGUUUAGAGACCAGGAACUUCCCUCCCACGGUCUGUCCCAUCACCGUCUCGAGAUUUCUUUUUGCCUUUGUAAAUGUCUAUAAACACGGCUACUCAGCGCACACUGUCCACUGUGUUGAUCUAGCUUCCUUUUUCACGGUGUGGCUUACGCUUCCCCCUGGGCGGCACAGUCUUGGAUGGCACCUCACCCCGGCUCCUGGCAAGAGCAGGAGCUAAAUGGCACAGGGCCUCAGCGCUGAGCGGCUGUCCUGCCCCGGACUGCUCAGGGCCCGACGCCUCGGUAAGAACAGCGCAGCGGCCGAGCCCCAGGCAGCUGAACGACACUGCUCUGCUUGCCCUCUGUUCGACUUUGGCGGUUUGGAAGGGGGUGGGGCAUGAAAAACAGAAGAAGUGUUUGUGUGAUGUGUUCCUCUCCUGUGGCCGUCUUGGCGAGCAACCAAGGAGCUGAGAACAAGCGGAUAUGACUUAAGGGUUUUCUGAAAAAAGAGGGCGACGAUUGAAAAGGAGGUCAAACCUCAUCUUGUUGGGCUUGGUUCGCCACUGCUGGGUGGGGAAAUAGCCCUUCACACUUGCUGGAGAGAAGCCGGCUCUGCUGUCCCCUGCUCCGCCCGCUCGACGCAGAAGGACCUGGAUGAGCACCCGGAACAGGAAGACAGGAGGGAAAGGGCUCUGGGGGAGAAACAGACUUGUGAAGUUAGGCUGCCUCCCCAUCUAGAAGCGUACGCCUGAAGGACCCGUUCUCUGAGCUCGGCGUAUCUGCCCGCUUCCGGGCCCUCCACUGUCCACUGGGGCCUGGGCACCACAGUCAGGGCCCUGACGGUGAUCUCGCCCUUAGGAGAAGGAGGCAGAGAAGGGAAGGCAGAGGGCUACCCUCAAGAAUUGGACAGGUCGGGGUGAGGAAAGGAGCCCAGGUCAUCGCGCCUGGAAGAUGCGCUGUCUGAGCCCUGCUCGGAACUCCGGGGGUGGGGGGGGGCGGGGAAAUGGGCUUUUCUAUAGAUGGGUGCAAGUUGACUCGUAUCUUUGUGCUCACUUAGUGUUUCUUGUGUUGCUUGGACAACUACCUUGGAAGAUGUACAUUGUUUCACCUGAACUGAAGAGAAUGAGUAAAGAAAUAGGUUUAUGUGGAACAUAAAUGAAGAUGUUGGCAUUAGGAGGAUGAGCAGAAUGGCCCUGAGAUCCAGAGCGGAGGCAGAGAGACAGAGGAAGAGGGCUGACAGCUAGAUGGCAGUCUCUUCCUCCUUGGGGGGCUCCCCUGCCAGUUCUUUGCUUGUACGUGGGCUUCCCUGACAAGAUGAUGAACUGCCAGGGGGCAAACUUACGGUAUCGUAAUGUUGUGAGUUUGAGGAUUAGCAGGUGAGGAUUCUGCUCUCGAAGGCUCCCAGACCCCAGUGUGGGGAAAGAGGAUGGGCUUGAGGCCAAAGCAGCUGACAAGGGGCGGGAGGUGGCAGGAGAGCGCUUGGCAGCUGCGGGUGCCCGGGCAGCAGAAUGCUCUUUCCCGGCUCCGCCCAGGCCCUCCCACGUGCCCAGCAAGCGCGCAGUCCGCCCCUUCGCUAAGAAUGUUCAUCAGAGGCCUCAUUUGGGACACCUCUUUUCACACAUCUGUGGUCAAGAGAGGUGUUAAUUGUACUGACCUUGGGGAAAUGUGGCUCUUCCCUGAUGCCCAAGGUCUUUCUGCUCCUCAGAUGCCAGGACGGAUGUGAACCAAAGACUGAGCCCUAUGGUACAGCCUGGGUUUUCUGAGAUCAGGUUUGGGACAGCUACAGCGUGGUUUUCUUUCAUUCAUAGAGUCUUGGGGAAAAGGCAUUUUGAAGAGUCCUUUGAGAGACAUUGGCUUCUGAGCUGUGCUGCUGUGAGCACUGUCUUUCUCAGACAGAAUGCUGUCUAAUUCUUUCUUGAAAAUUAGCAGAGAAGGAGACUACUACUUAAAGGCCAAAGAUCUUGACUCCUCUGGAUUAGAAAAUUCCUCUUAAUUCUACCCUAAUUUCAUCCUAUUGACGUUUAUGCCCAUUUCCUUAUUCUGUGCUCAUGGGAAAUAAGUGUUCAUAUUCUAUCAAUAUUUCCCUUCACACCAUUAAAGAUUUUCCUCCAGCAAUUUCUUAAGGGCCAUGUAGUUCAUGUAGUUCACUUCUGGCCUGGAGCGUGAAGGAACAAGACAGACACAUUGAAAGAAUGAAAGGUGUGUGUGUGUGCACGCGUGCACCUAUGUGUGAGAUAAAGAGUGUGGGCAGGUGUGCGACAGUGUGUGCAUGGAUGUGGGUAAGUGUGUGAGACUGGGAGCAUAUGUGUGUGUGUGCAUGCAUGUGCCUGUGUGAGUGAAUGGCUCCCUAAAAAGUGCAAAUGCACAAAACAAGCUAUGGCUUUGAGACAGGAUGUGACCUUGGCCUUAUCAGAAACUUGUCUGGAGGGGGCUGAGUGGCUCAGUCAGUUAAGCGUCUGCCUGCGGCUCAGGUCAUGAUCCCAGGGUCCUGGAAUCGAGUUCCGCUUCAGGCUCCCUGCUCAGUGGGGAGUCUGCUUCUCCUUCCUCUCCCUGCUUGUGCACGCUCUCUCUCUCUCAAAAAUAAAUAAUCUUAAAAAAAUAAAAAGAAACUUGUCUGGAGGAGUGUCUUAGGUGACCUCCAAAGCACCUUGUGAAGAACUUCAGCUUCUUGAAGUCUGUGAGACUCAGGUCAGAAAGAAACUGAAGGAUAUAGAAACAGGCAACACUUGUCUGAGAUUUGUGGCAGAGCUACAAGAGGGAAGAGGCCUGGGGCCUGGAAUUAUUGCAUGGAGAACUAUUUUUAAUAGAAAUAGAGAAACUUUUUAAUAGAAAUAAACAUCUAUUGUUUUUGAGCCUUCAAUUCUGAGGCCUGUUUGUUACAUCGACGGGCAUUCCCUGAUGAGCACAGUCUCUGCCCCUAGAGUUCUGUUCUCCAGCUCUGCUUCCCCAGCACCAGCAAUCCUGUGGCACCGUGGAGACCUCUGAUCCACGCCUUCCCACCCCUGCACUCCCUGUCACUCUGUAGGUUACCACUCUCUUUCCCACCCAACUUACAGUCCGGUAGGUACACUCCCUUAUGUACCCACUCAGAUCCCUUAAUCCUCUGGUCGUCCACUGCGCUCUCCCUGACAUGGCCAGCCUCAGUUAAAUGCUUUCCAGCCACUCAGUGCCCACGUCUGCAUACUGGGGAAAAUACAGCGAGGCUGACUGUAAGCUGAUGGCCACUAACAGUGACCACUGACUCCCCAUGGCCCCCUGGCAGUUCUUCCAGACUUCCUAGGCCCCCUCAGCCUCCUAUUCUCCUAGGUGACAACUGCACACCUUCCGCGUCUAAAACCUCCAUACCCUCUCCCUCAUCCUCAUGUUCAGUGGAUGACCUUGCUAGUGUCUCAGGCCUUCCUAUAGCCUAUUCUUAACUCAGCAGUCAGAAAAAGCCUUAAAACCUAUGCCUGAUCAUGUCAGUUCUCACUUAAAACCUUGGCCAGGUUGCCCAUCGGUCUCAGAGUCGAACCGCUCUUCAAAAUGUCUUCCUCUCUGCCCCCAAACCUACCAUUCUCUCCCUCAAGCUGCUAGAGGCACAGUGGCCCCAAUCCAUAGGGCCCACUCCUGCGUCAGGACCUUUGCACUGACUGUUCUCUCUGCAUGGAAAACAUUCCCCUCAAGUAUCUGCAUGCAUUUUUCUCUCAUCUCCUUUAAGUUGCAUCUCAAAUAGCACCUUAUUAACGAGACCGUCACUGAAUAUCCUGUUUAAAACAGCAAACAUGUUUCCCACCCCCAGCACUUUCUGUCCUCCUCUGCUUCAUUUUUUGGCACAUUUCUGACAUAUUAUAUAUCUUAUUUUUUUAUUACAAUUUAUAUAUUGUCUAUCUCCUUACACUAGAAUGGAACCUCCACAAGGGGAGUUAUUUUUGCCUGUUUUAUUUCUGUAGCAAUGCCUGGCGCAUAAUAGGCAUAAAAGAAAUAUUUGUAGAAGGAAUAAAGGGGAUAGGAAAGUAGGAGGAAGGAAAAAGGAAGAAAUGAAGGAAGGUUGCUCCCAGGCAUGGGCUCCAGCUUCCCAAGCCUGGAAGACACAGAACAGUUUGCUUCACAAGGAGAUGCAGUUACUCUGAAAUCAGCAGAUGGGCCCUUCCUCUGGGUCUCAGGGUCCCUCUUCUCCAUGCAGGCUGGAGGCCUCCCCACCCAAGGCUGCUCUGGGUCCCAGUGCCUCUGAGUAGUGCGGCGUGUGGACAGAAAUUGUUUCCCGAUGCGGGCUGCCUACUGCUGCUGAUUUAGCUAGAGAGAAGGCUUUCUUGACUGAAAGCUCAGCGUUGGCCAGUUGCAGUUUAUUUUGGUGUUGCAGAUGAAUUUCUGCCUCUGGUGCCUACUCUGUUUCCCAUGUACACACAUGCUCACCGCAGGGCCCCUCUGGGUCCUGCAGCGCUCCCCAUAAGGUAGAGGAAGAAAAAGGCCUUGGAACUCACAGGAACUGAGGGACCAUCUAGGCCAGGUCCAUGGCAUUCUGAAGGACCUGUGAGUGGACUUCAGGGGUUCUCUGAGCUCCCUGAACUUUUUUUUGAGUGUUUUUCCUGGGAUAAGAUUUUAUAGAUGUCACAGACUUUCCUAUGGGUCCAUAGCCAUUAAAAGGUUAUCCUUCAAUUUACAGAUGAGAAAAUGGAAGCCCAGAGAUGGGCACUGACUUGCCUAGGGUCACAGGACAGAGCUAGGACUUGAACUCAUGUCUUCUCUAAGCAGAUAACAGAAUCAAACAUACUUUGCCAAGUAUCACAAGCACCACUGACUAUCACUGACUUGGGAUGCUAACGAGUUGAGCUGCCGAUGCUGGUGGCCCUGAGGCCUGCGGCUCUUGAGGCUGCCUGCACUCCCCGUGGCUGGCCAGCGGCUGUCAGGAGCCCAUGGCCCACAGCACCUACUCACAGCCAGAGGGAGGAGCGUGGGUGAGUUGGGAUGCCCUCCCCCAGGGUCUUAGAGAGACCAGCCAAGUCGGGAGUCAGCAGUCCUGGCUCUCAUUCUCACUCUGUGGCUUAUUCCCUGGACGUUUUGGGGAAGAAACUGGUUUUCUACCUCAAGACCAUCCCAGUCGAAUGUGCUCACAAUAACUUCUGCUACCCCGACUUUCUUUUCAAGGGAGCAAACUCAGCUGGCUUUCUGCCUGCGGCAUUCAGACAGCUCCCGAAAACCCAGCAUCUCCCAUGAGGAUGAGAAGGGGCAGCCAGCUUUCCCUACCCAACCCCAUUUAUAGGUAGAACUCUCAGUCUUUGCUCCUGACUUGGAAAUAGCUUAUUAUCUAUUCACAUCUUAGUUUGGCCUCUUCCAAGGCACUUUGGAUCCUCUCAACAAUCCUUUCAACCACCCUACUAGGUAGAUAUGAUUAAUUACCAUUUUACAGAGAGGAAACUGAGCAGUUGCUUGGCUCGUCCAAGGGCACAGAGCUGCCAGAGGUGGCCCUGGGCGGAGUCUAGAUCACGUCGUCUUCUACCUUUCCCUACCCUGGGUUUCCAGGAACUUCUUGUUUGCGGUCUUUGCAUCCCCUACACUCAAGAUGUCGGGGGGCCAAAAGCAGGGACUUUUUGCAGGUAACUGUCUUAAAUGUGUGAGGCGCCUGUGGUUCCUUCUGCCGGUUACCGUGCAGGAGAAGGGAAAAGCCCGGCUUCUGGCUUCCAUCUCUGGCCGGCCAAGCCAGGCACAGUGGGCGACACCCCAAGUGAACAUCACUGAGCUCACAGAGCUCACAAAGCUGUUAGCUGCAGAGGCCUCCGCCAGGGGCAGCUGGGGAGUGGGCGGCUGGGCUGCUGGCAGGGACACUGGGACUGGAAGGGCCGCCCACCACCUCCUAGCUCAAAAGGGCCUCUUGCUUAGAGGCUCACAGAGAACACUGCGGAAGGGAGGCCAGUGCUUCUCCUCGAUGGGCUCUGCUUCCGUGGAGCUCAGACCCUGAGUGGCCGGGGUUUUCCCUGGGAGCCAGUUGGAGGGUUAGGGUUGGUCCUGGACCCACGGCACUGCUGAGCGAGGGGCAGAGUGUCAUGCACUGUUUCUUCACCACCCAGCCUCUCGGUUGCUAGAAGCUUUUCAUUUCCCCCUUCCAAUCCAUCCAGACGGCCACCAUCUCACCCCUCAUUCCCUCCUAGCUGGUAUUAGUAUAUCAGGCCCUCAGUCCCUGGGACAGACAUUUUACUACAGGUGUAAAUAGAAACGGAUCAUUUUUAGUCACUAUAAAGUGCCACAAACACCGUUCACUGACUUCUCCGCUAAAAAGCACAAACCCAGCAGAGACACUUGAGCAGCAAAUACGAAUCCACCAAGGAAAGGGGUGGGGGCCCCCACUACUGCUCCUCCAUCCUCGGUACCAAGCCCAUGAAGUCAUUCGCCUGUGCACAAACCUAAGGACGUGCAGCCGGGUGUCAGGGAGGCCUCCCCAACUCCUACCACCCAGUCCCCCACCCUUCCCAAUC